UACGUAGGUGGCAAGCGUUGUCCGGAUUUACUGGGCGUAAAGGGCGUGCAGGCGGUCUGUUAAGUGCAGGGUGAAAGCUCCCGGCUCAACUGGGAGAGGUCCUUGCAUACUGGCGGACUUGAGGGGGGUAGAGGAAAGUGGAAUUCCCGGUGUAGUGGUGAUAUGCGUAGAUAUCGGGAGGAACACCUGUGGCGAAGGCGGCGCACUGGACCAUAACUGACGCUGAGGCGCGAAAGCUAGGGGAGCAAACAGG
rnacentral:rRNA from 1 species